AGAGUUUGAUCCUGGCUCAGGACGAACGCUGGCGGCGUGCUUAACACAUGCAAGUCGAGCGGGGAUGCCGUUGGAAGUCCUUCGGGAUGGAAGACGGUAUUCUAGCGGCGGACGGGUGAGUAACGCGUGAACAAUCUGUCCCAGACAGGGGGAUAACAGAUGGAAACAUCUGCUAAUACCGCAUAAGACCACGGGAUCACAUGGUUCCGAGGUAAAAGGAGCAAUCCGGUCUGGGGUGAGUUCGCGUCCGAUUAGCUAGUUGGCGAGGUAACGGCCCACCAAGGCGACGAUCGGUAGCCGACCUGAGAGGGUGAUCGGCCACAUUGGAACUGAGAGACGGUCCAAACUCCUACGGGAGGCAGCAGUGGGAAUAUUGGCAAUGGGCGAAAGCCUGACCCAGCAACGCCGCGUGAGUGAAGAAGGCUUUCGGGUUGUAAAGCUCUGUCCUAGGGGACGAAGGAAGUGACGGUACCCAAGGAGGAAGCCCCGGCUAACUACGUGCCAGCAGCCGCGGUAAUACGUAGGGGGCGAGCGUUGUCCGGAAUGACUGGGCGUAAAGGGCGUGUAGGCGGCCGAUUAAGUGUGGAGUGAAAGUCCUGCUUUUAAGGUGGGAAUUGCUUUGCAGACUGGUUGGCUUGAGUGCGGAAGAGGUAAGUGGAAUUCCCAGUGUAGCGGUGAAAUGCGUAGAGAUUGGGAGGAACACCAGUGGCGAAGGCGACUUACUGGGCCGUAACUGACGCUGAGGCGCGAAAGCGUGGGGAGCGAACAGGAUUAGAUACCCUGGUAGUCCACGCUGUAAACGAUGAAUGCUAGGUGUUGCGGGUAUCGACCCCUGCAGUGCCGGAGUAAACGCAAUAAGCAUUCCGCCUGGGGAGUACGGCCGCAAGGUUGAAACUCAAAGGAAUUGACGGGGGCCCGCACAAGCAGCGGAGCAUGUUGUUUAAUUCGAAGCAACGCGAAGAACCUUACCAUGUCUUGACAUCGAGGAAAAGGUCUAGAGAUAGGCUGUGCCUUCGGGCGUCCGAAGACAGGUGGUGCAUGGUUGUCGUAAGCUCGUGUCGUGAGAUGUUGGGUUAAGUCCCGCAACGAGCGCAACCCUUAUGGUCAGUUACUAACGGGUAAAGCCGAGGACUCUGACAAGACUGCCGGGGACAACUCGGAGGAAGGUGGGGACGACGUCAAAUCACCAUGCCCCUUAUGACAUGGGCUACA
rnacentral:rRNA from 1 species